rnacentral:rRNA from 1 species
UCGAGGAUCUUCGGCAAUGAGCGCAAGCUUGACCGAGCGACGCCGCGUGUGUGACGAAGGCCUUCGGGUUGUAAAGCACUGUCGAGGGGGAGGAAAGCCCGAAAGGGUCUGACCUAUCCCUGGAGGAAGCACGGGCUAAGUUCGUGCCAGCAGCCGCGGUAAGACGAACCGUGCAAACGUUGUUCGGAAUCACUGGGCUUAAAGGGCGCGUAGGCGGGCCAUCAAGUCAGGGGUGAAAUCCUCCAGCUCAACUGGAGAACAGCCUUUGAUACUGGUGGUCUCGAGUGAGGUAGGGGCAUGCGGAACUGAUGGUGGAGCGGUGAAAUGUGUUGAUAUCAUCAGGAACUCCGGUGGCGAAAGCGGCGUGCUGGACCUCUACUGACGCUGAGGCGCGAAAGCCAGGGGAGCGAACGGGAUUAGAUACCCCCGUAGUCC